GGAUGGAAGGAAAACUGGUCCUUCAAAUUUUCAAAAGCCUCUCUCCGAAGAUCCAUCCUCUUUUAUGUAAUCAUGUGUUGUUCUUGAGUAGAUGUGAAACUCCUCUAAUUUUAUCUGCAAAAUUCACGAUUUUGUAGCGAAUUGGAGAGGCCCUUGAGGAGAACAAGAACUUGUACCCUUCAAUGAUUCUUUGUGCAUCCACAAGCCUCCAAGAUCUGCACCAGAGAUACUACAAUUUGCAGCUGUAGCAGCUGGAACUCUCCUUGUAUGAAGUCUGUAUUUCUGCAAUAACAAUCUACUAAGCUUUAAUCUCAAGUCAAACAUUAGGAGGCACAGGGAGAAAUGAACAACACGAACGCACUUGUAAAUGACUCUUUACUUCGUCGUUGGUCAGGCCAUCAACCCUCAUGAGUUCCCUAAUUUGCUUUGGUGUAGCUGCUACAAUGAAAUAACAAAAAGAUUAGACAAUUAUGAACUAAGAUUUCACA